GGCCGCCUGGCGAAAUGGCAUCGCGUCUGACUACGAGUUGUUAUCAGGAGAUUGCAGGUUCGACCCCUGCGGUGGUCA
rnacentral:tRNA from 2 species